UACGAGGGGUGCAAGCGUUGCUCGGAAUUAUUGGGCGUAAAGGGUUGGUAGGUGGUCUUAUUUGUCUAAGGUGAAAUCCCAUGGCUUAACUGUGGAAGUGCCUUAGAAACGGUAAGACUAGAGUCCUAGAGGGGUUUGUGGAAUUCCCGGUGUAGCGGUGAAAUGCGUAGAGAUCGGGAGGAACACCAGCGGCGAAGGCGGCAAACUGGAUAGGCACUGACACUCAACAACGAAAGCGUGGGGAGCAAACAGG
rnacentral:rRNA from 1 species